rnacentral:rRNA from 1 species
GCUCAGGAUGAACGCUAGCUACAGGCUUAACACAUGCAAGUCGAGGGGUAGCAGGGUAGCAAUACCGCUGACGACCGGCGCACGGGUGAGUAACACGUAUCCAACCUUCCCAUAACUCAGGGAUAGCCUUUCGAAAGAAAGAUUAAUACCUGAUAGUACUUAAGAAAGGCAUCUUUUUUAAGUUAAAGAUUUAUUGGUUAUGGAUGGGGAUGCGUUCCAUUAGAUAGUUGGUGAGGUAACGGCUCACCAAGUCUUCGAUGGAUAGGGGUUCUGAGAGGAAGGUCCCCCACAUUGGUACUGAGACACGGACCAAACUCCUACGGGAGGCAGCAGUGAGGAAUAUUGGUCAAUGGGCGAGAGCCUGAACCAGCCAAGUA